AUGGUACUGCCAAAUGAGAGUUACCGUCUUUUAAAAAAUAGUUAUGAGCAUUUAAAUAAUGAUUACACACGUGGAUAUGACCAACACACUUGCUACUUUAAAAACGAGAAAAUAAUUAAUUUAAUAAACAACAUGAAUGAAAAAGAAAAUAAACAAUUAACAACGUCUGGAGAUGUUUAUUUAAAUAAAAAGGAGCUACAAAAAAGUAAGAUAAAUGUAAUAGAAGAUUAUGACCAUCCUUUGAAUAAUAGUGAUAUAAUUAUGUCAAACUUAUGUUCUAAUGGUAAAUUAUUUACUUCCCCUGAUAUAAAUACGACACAAGUAGAAAUGUCUAUAUAUUUCAAAAUAUAUAAAUCUAUACUUAUGAAAAAUGUUACGCGAUUAAGUGUAUACUUGGAAAAUAAAUUAUUAAAAACGAUUUUUAUUACUGAAUAUCCGCAAACUUUUCCGAUUAUUAUACAACCGAAAACAAAAAUAACAAAUGAAAAAAAAUUCAUUAAAAUACAAAAUAAAUUACUUCAUAUUAAAGAUAAUAAUUUAUUAUAUUUUGUUUUUUUUAACAAUGGUAAAGAAAUUGGGUUUUCUUAUGUUAGUAUUAAAGAUUUAUUAAAAUUAGGAGUAGAAGGUGGAAUGUUUAUGAUAGUACAUGAUUAUAAUAAAGAAGAUAUAUUGAAUAAAAAAAAAAAUAAAGAUGUUGUAUUACCAUCACAAAUUAUACCAUUUAAUAAUCAAGAUAUUGACAUUUUAAAGUCAAAAAUAUUUAUGAACUAUAAAAUAUCUGCUCCAAAGUUUUUAAUAAAUUCAAUUUUACUCUGUGAUAUUAUAACACCUAAACAAAAGGUCAAACGAUUGGAAGAUAUGAUAAGACAAUUGUAUAGUUUUAUUCAUGAAUUUGGUUACUCUAAAAUAAAUAUAAAUGAUAAAAAUAUAAAUGUAAAAACAAGAUUGAAAUAUUAUAGUAAUAAUAAUAAAAGUAUAAACCAUAAGUUUAAUACAAAUAGCCAUAAUAGUUUUAGUAUAAAUAAAAAUAUGAAAACAAAUAUACGAUUUAAAAAAAAUGAAAGUAAAAAAAAAACAACAAGAACAUUAGUUUGUGUACAAAUGAGAUAA
rnacentral:lncRNA from 1 species